AUGCAUGUCUAAGUUCAUGCCGUAUUAAGGCGAAACCGCGAAUGGCUCAUUAAAUCAGUUAUGGUUCCUUGGAUCGUACUUUUCUACUUGGAUAACUGUGGCAAUUCUAGAGCUAAUACAUGCAGCAGAGCUCCGACCUUCGGGGACGAGCGCUUUUAUUAGACCAAAACCGAUCGGGACUCUGUCCCGUGAACGUGGUGACUCUGUAUAACUUUGGGCUGAUCGCAGGGCUUUAGGCCAGCGACGUAUCUUUCAAGUGUCUGCCUUAUCAACUGUCGAUGGUAGGUUAUGCGCCUACCAUGGUCGUAACGGGUAACGGGGGAUCAGGGUUCGAUUCCGGAGAGGGAGCCUGAGAAACGGCUACCACA
rnacentral:rRNA from 1 species